AGUGAACGCUGGCGGUAGGCCUAACACAUGCAAGUCGAACGGCAGCACAGUAAGAGCUUGCUCUUACGGGUGGCGAGUGGCGGACGGGUGAGGAAUACAUCGGCAUCUACUUUUUCGUGGGGGAUAACGUAGGGAAACUUACGCUAAUACCGCAUACGACCUACGGGAGAAAUCAGGAGAUCUUCGCACCUUUGGCGAUUCAUAGAGCCGAUGCCGCAUUAGCUAGUUGGCGGGGUAAAGGCUCACCAAGGCGACGAUCCGUAGCUGGUCUGAGAGGAUGAUCAGCCACACUGGAACUGAGACACGGUCCAGACUCCUACGGGAGGCAGCAGUGGGGAAUAUUGGGCAAUGGGCGCAAGCCUGACGCAGCCAUACCGCGUGGGUGAAGAAGGCCUUCGGGUUGUAAAGCUCUUUUGUUGGGAAAGAAAAGCAGCAUGUUAAUCCACCGCUGUCCUGACGGUACCCAAAGAAUAAGCACCGGCUAACUACGUG
rnacentral:rRNA from 1 species